CUCGGGGGGGGGGGUUCCUCAGCCCGGAUUGUGAGAGGGUGCAGGCCAGGCCAAGGGACCCCACCAGUGCACA
rnacentral:pre_miRNA from 1 species